CAAUUGACCAGAGCGCCUGUCUUGCAAGGACUUCUCAUCGAGCUGCAUUUGAAAGUCUGUGAUUGGCCAGUUUUUGUCAAACCAUUUGACAAAAAAAGGGAGAUGUGGCAGCCACCCAGGUAGGAACACGGGUUUUGCCGCCAGAGAUGUCCUUUUGCCUCAGUAGCGAGCUAUGCUGUAUCAACUCUGGUCUCUGUAGCAAUCACAAGUAGACUUUACCAGUAGCGAUAAUCCAAAGCAGGUAUAGCUUUCCCCCACAGACAUUAGUCGAGACUGAAUGCUGG